ensembl:lncRNA
GCAGGCAGUAUAUUUUGUCAUACAUUAACACCCUAUAGCAUAAUUUAGAUACACAUGUCGUUCCAUAGAAUAACCCUAACCUAUAAUUUACACAAACAGUUAGGUUUGGAAAUAUUUGGACACUGACACAAUUUUCAUACAUUUUCUCUGUACGCCACCACAAUGCAUUUGAAAUUAAACAACAGAGAUUCAAUUGAAGUGCAGACUUUCAGCUUUAAUUCAAGGGUUGGGAGAAAAAUAUCAUAUGAAACGUUUAGGAAUUGCAACCAUUUUCAUACACAUUUGAAAUAUUUACAGCACUCAGUAGUUGUUUCCGUUCUCCGCAAAGGCCACAGCUUUUGUGAGACGAUAGUAACUUUGGUUUGUGGGUGACAGUGGUCAAUGCGUUCAUUGGUUUGUGGCGGACUGUGGUCAAUGUGUUCAAUAAUUUGUUGGUGACAGUGGUCAAUGCGUUCAUUAGUUUGUGGGUGACAGUGGUCAAUGCGUUCAUUGGUUUGUGGGGGACAGUGGUCAAUGCGUUUAUUGGUUUGUGGGGGACAGUGGUCAGUGAAUUCAAUGGUUUGUGGGGGACAGUGGUCAAUUUGUUCAAUGGUUUGUGGGGGACAGUGGUCAAUGCGUUCAGAGGAUUGUUGUUGGCAGCCUCUCAUGGAGUGGCUGAAACAAAGAUAUUAUAUGAGCCAAAUUGUAACUGUUUAUGGUCACUUUAUAACUGUUAGAGGUAAUUAUCUGUUGUUCCUGGUAUUCACCACUAGAGGCCAAACAGACACACAGACAACAUUGUCAUCAGGGUUUUUAUUGGUUGUUUAGAUGCAGGCAGUAUAUUUUGUCAUAAAUUUACACCCUAUAGCAUAAUUUACAUACACUUAUGUCGUACCAUAGAAUAACCCUAACCCAUAAUUUACAGAUACAGUUAGGUUUGGAAAUAUUUGGACACCGACACAAUUUUCAGAAUUUUCUCUGCACGCCCCAACAUUUGAUUUGAAAUAUAAAAAACUAAGAUGCAAUUUAAGUGCAGACUUUCUGCUUUAAUUGCAUAGAAAAACUCCAACGUUGCUUUUGCAGUAUGUUUUGGGUCAUUGUCCACCUGUAAAGUGAAGCGCUGUCCAAUCAACUUCGCCGAAUUUGUCUGAAUCUGAGCAGACAAUAUAUCCCUAUACACUUCAGAUUUCAUCCGGCUGCUUCUGUCUUCUGUCACAUUAAUAAACACUAGUGGCCCAGUGCCAUUGGAUUCCAUUCAUGGCCAUGCCAUCACAAUGCCUCCACCGUGUUUUACACGUUUUACAGGUGGUAUGCUUUGGAUCAUGAGCCGUUCCAAGCCUUCUCCAUACUUUUUUCUUCCAGUCAUUUGGGUACAGGUUGAUCUUAGUUUCAUCUGUCCCAAAGAAUGCUGUUCCAGAACUGGGCUGGUUUUAUUAGAUAUUUAAUCUGGCCUUUCUAUUCUUGAGUCUUAUGAAUGUUUUGCACCUUGUGGUGAACCCUCUGUAUAUGCUCUUGUGAAGUAUUUUCUUUACAUUUGGAUAAUGAUAUGCCUGCCACCUGGAGAGUGUUUUUCACUUGCCUGGAUGUUGUAAAGGGGUUUUUCUUUACCAUGGAAAGGAUCCUACAACCAUCCACCACUGUUGUCUUCCGUGGACGUACAGGCCUUUUUGUGUUGCAGAGCUCACCAUUGUGUUCUUUUAUUCUCAAAAUGUACCAAUCUGUUGAUUUGGCCACUCCUAAUGUUCCUGCUAUCUCUCUGAAGGAUAUUUUUUUUGCAGCCUAAGGUUGGCCUGUUUUACUUGCAUUGAGAGCUCCUUUGACCGCAUGUUGUGGGUUUACAACAACAGCUUCCAAAUGCAAAUGCCACACCUGGAAUCAACUCCAGACCUUUUACCUGCUUAAUUUAUGAAGAAAUAACAAAUGAAUAGCCCACACCUGUCUAUGAAACAGUUUUUGAGACAUUUGUCCAAUUACAUUUGGUCCCUUGAAAAAGAUGGGGCUACAUAUUAAAGAGCUGUAAUUCCUAAAUUCCUCCACCCUCAAAAUAAAGCUGAGAGACUUUAAGCCCAUGUUCAUUAUUUAACUGUAACUUGAAUAUAUUCUGGUAAACAGCCAAAAUAACAAAACUUGUGUCGGUGUCCAAUUAUUCCGGACCUAACUGUACAUCCUAUCGUGGAAUAGCAUCUUAAAAAUAGACACCAUCUAAAAUUCCAGAUUUCAGUUCACAUAAUACAGAUUUUUUAGAUAGAGUCCAGUUCAAUUAAUAUAAACUAGUUUUACUAGCUGUAAUAGAGCUUUAUGAGACUCGAUGCCAACAAUGUCCCCUAAAGCCCUAGAAUAAUGUUCACUUCAUA